CUACUCACCUCCUCCGCAUGCCAAUGUUAGCAAAAUCUAAAAUACUUCUUCGGUUCUACUAAAAGAAAGCCGUAUAAGAGAUGGUUUAAUAAAAAAUAUUUUCUGGCUCCAGUUGCAUACAAAAUGCUAGAGACACAGAGUCUCAAGCAAUGUUUAUUAUUUGUGUUGUCUUCUGCAGCCAGCUCUUUCACCGAGGUUUUGUUCAAAGAUUAAUUCCGACAGUGGAGAAGUAAAGAAAAGAUUAUUACUCAAUCUCAGGGAAGACUGAAAUUAUUAAAGCAGAGCAGCCGCUAACCUCCAGGUCCCUGGAUCUUCUGGAGUAUGAUAUGAUGAUUGAUAACCUGACCUACACUUCUUGGAUCACUUGGCAGGUAUUUGGGGGAUUUAUUCAUCGGAGCAAGUGUUCUGAAAGAACCUUCCAGAAAGCCCUAUCUCUGGGAGCCAUGGAAGCAUCCUUUUGCAAAAUGUCACAUUCAAAAUGCAAGCUCUGAGAGUACUUAUUCAAGUGAACUCGGUUUCUACUACUGAACACACAAGUGUUACUCAAGAGGAACGAGGAGCAAGAGGAGCAGGUAGCUGCAUCUCAUGGAUGUGAGAUGCUCCAGGCCCCGUGCGCACUGCUGGGAAAUGGUUGUAGGUGCUUCUGGCAAGCGUCUGCUUUGUGAGCUCAAUCUGUGCAACCGUGAGGAAAAUGGACUGCAAUUAAGAAAACAUCAAAUCCUGGACUUCUAUGAGGGAAAAAGUUGAGCAGAUGUGUGGGUGGUGUUGCAUGGAGCGACCAUGUGAUUUUCCCUGAAGAAGUCACGGCUGGGGGAUCAGUGCUGCAGCUUUAACCCUGGAAGAGCAAGCUCUAAGACCCUGCGGUGCAGAGGCCCUGGCUCAUACGUUACAUGUCUCAAUGCAGAGCCUAAUCCACUUAGGCAAGCACGGAGUGAAAAUAUCAUUGCCUUUACAGCGAGAGCCGAAGGCUACAACAAAUCUAAAUGCCAUAGCUCCAUCAAAAUAAACACUCAAAGCCAUCUUGACA
rnacentral:lncRNA from 1 species